rnacentral:rRNA from 1 species
AGAGUUUGAUCCUGGCUCAGAUUGAACGCUGGCGGUAUGCUUAACACAUGCAAGUCGAACGGAAACGACAAGAGCUUGCUCUUGGGCGUCGAGUGGCGGACGGGUGAGUAACGCGUAGGAAUCUGCCUAGUAGUGGGGGAUAGCCCAAGGAAACUUGGAUUAAUACCGCAUAAUAUCUAUGGAUUAAAGUGGAGGAUCUUCGGACUUCACGCUACUAGAUGAGCCUGCGUAAGAUUAGUUAGUUGGUGAGGUAAAAGCUCACCAAGGCGACGAUCUUUAGCUGGUCUGAGAGGAUGAUCAGCCACACUGGGACUGAGACACGGCCCAGACUCCUACGGGAGGCAGCAGUGGGGAAUAUUGGACAAUGGGGGCAACCCUGAUCCAGCAAUACCGCGUGUGUGAAGAAGGCCUGAGGGUUGUAAAGCACUUUCAAUUGUGAAGAAAAGUUAAGGAUUAAUACCCCUUAGCCUUGACGUUAACUUUAGAAGAAGCACC